AUUGAACUGUAUUCUGCUUGUUUCUUUUGAAAGACUACAUUUAAACAGGUGACUUCUCUAUAGUGCGAAAUGGAUUGUCAACACCAUAUUACCUCAUGUCCUUUGAGAAUACUUUGCCUUUUUAAUCUGGUAUCCUCUGUAUUGUUGUCCAGCUGUCCUCAUAUCUGUGACCCAGGCUUCAUUAUUGACAAGUGUAAGUGUGUCCGUUGUGCCAAUGACUACUACUGGUACACGCAGAACGGCCUUCCGAAGUGUGACCGCUGCAGCGAAGCCU